rnacentral:rRNA from 1 species
UACUUUACCUAGCGGCGGACGGGUGAGUAAUGCUUAGGAAUCUGCCUAUUAGUGGGGGACAACAUCUCGAAAGGGAUGCUAAUACCGCAUACGUCCUACGGGAGAAAGCAGGGGACCUUCGGGCCUUGCGCUAAUAGAUGAGCCUAAGUCGGAUUAGCUAGUUGGUGGGGUAAAGGCCUACCAAGGCGACGAUCUGUAGCGGGUCUGAGAGGAUGAUCCGCCACACUGGGACUGAGACACGGCCCAG